rnacentral:rRNA from 1 species
GAUGAACGCUGGCGGCGUGCCUAAUACAUGCAAGUCGAGCGAACAGACGAGGAGCUUGCUUCUCUGACGUUAGCGGCGGACGGGUGAGUAACACGUGGAUAACCUACCUAUAAGACUGGGAUAACUUCGGGAAACCGGAGCUAAUACCGGAUAAUAUAUUGAACCGCAUGGUUCAAUAGUGAAAGACGGUUUUGCUGUCACUUAUAGAUGGAUCCGCGCCGCAUUAGCUAGUUGGUAAGGUAACGGCUUACCUAGGCAACGAUGCGUAGCCGACCUGAGAGGGUGAUCGGCCACACUGGACCUGAGACACGGUCCAGACUCCUACGGGAGGCAGCAGUAGGGAAUCUUCCGCAAUGGGCGAAAGCCUGACGGAGCAACGCCGCGUGAGUGAUGAAGGUCUUCGGAUCGUAAAACUCUGUUAUUAGGGAAGAACAAAUGUGUAAGUAACUAUGCACGUCUUGACGGUACCUAAUCAGAAAGCCACGGCUAACUACGUG